rnacentral:rRNA from 1 species
UACGUAGGGGGCUAGCGUUGUCCGGAAUCAUUGGGCGUAAAGAGCGUGUAGGCGGCCCGGUAAGUCCGCUGUAAAAGUCAAAGGCUCAACCUUUGAAUGUCAGUGGAUACUGCCGGGCUAGAGUCCGGAAGAGGCGAGUGGAACUCCUGGUGUAGCGGUGGAAUGCGCAGAUAUCAGGAAGAACACCGACGGCGAAGGCAGCUCGCUGGGACGGUACUGACGCUGAGACGCGAAAGCGUGGGGAGCGAACAGGAUAGAUACCCUUGUA